GAUCCUGGCUCAGGAUGAACGCUAGCUACAGGCUUAACACAUGCAAGUCGAGGGGCAGCAUGACCUAGCAAUAGGUUGAUGGCGACCGGCGCACGGGUGAGUAACACGUAUCCAACCUACCGGUUAUUCCGGGAUAGCCUUUCGAAAGAAAGAUUAAUACCGGGUAGUAUAACGAGAAGGCAUCUUUUUGUUAUUAAAUAAUUUCGAUAACCGAUGGGGAUGCGUUCCAUUAGUUUGUUGGCGGGGUAACGGCCCACCAAGACA
rnacentral:rRNA from 1 species